AUGUCGUCUCCUACAGGCACUCAUUACAUAAAUCUAACUACUAGUUGUCUUCCAUGCAUGUCAGAUAUAAUUGCACACACUGAUAUAUCCACAAGAACCUCACGGAGCAAUGUAAAGGCCAAUAAACUUGAUGUCAAUGAUAUCCAAUAUGAUGGAACAUGUAAAGGUAGUUCUUUAGAAGACUUGCAGAAAGAUGAUGAAUCCUCUUCACCCCACAAGGUCCUUGCUCUAACUUGGCCCGUGAUAUGGGUACAACAUGUGCAUAUAAUGUCCUGGAGUGUAUCAACUCUGUUGCAAUGCCAUGUGCUUAGCAUGCUGAUCAUGCAUGUAAAUAUGUCAUGCCUUCCUGUUUUUCAGUACCUAUUCCAGUCAUGA
rnacentral:rRNA from 1 species